UACGUAGGGUGCAAGCGUUGUCCGGAAUUAUUGGGCGUAAAGAGCUCGUAGGCGGUUUGUUGCGUCGGCUGUGAAAUCCCGAGGCUCAACCUCGGGUCUGCAGUCGAUACGAGCAAACUAGAGUGUUGCAGGGGAGACUGGAAUUCCUGGUGUAGCGGUGAAAUGCGUAGAUAUCGGGAGGAAUACCUAUGGCGAAAGCAGGCUUCUGGGCCAUCACUGACGCUGAGCUGCGAAAGCUAGGGGAGCAAACAGG
rnacentral:rRNA from 1 species